CAGUCGCCACGGUAAUACGAAGGGUGCAAGCGUUAAUCGUAAUUACUGGGCGUAAAGCGUGCGUAGGCGGUGAGUUAAGUCUGCUGUGAAAUCCCCGGGCUUAACCUGGGAACUGCGCUUGUGACUGCCGAGCUAGCAGGUGAGAGAGGUAAGUGGAAUUCCGAGUGUAGAGGUGAAAUUCGUAGAUAUUCGGAAGAACACCAGUGGCGAAGGCGGCUUACUGGCUCAUACUGGACGCUGAGGUGCGAAAGCGUGGGGAGCAAACAGGAUUAGAUACCCCCGUAGUCCCUGUCUCUUAUAC
rnacentral:rRNA from 1 species